rnacentral:rRNA from 1 species
GAGCACGUAGGUGGGUUUGUAAGUCAGACGUGAAAGCCUUCUGUUCAACGGAAGAAUUGCAUCUGAAACUGCGAGUCUUGAGUAUAGGAGGGGAGAAUGGAACUUCUGGUGGAGCGGUGAAAUGCGUAGAUAUCAGAAGGAACGCCGGCGGCGAAAGCGAUUCUCUGGCCUAUUACUGACACUCAGUGUGCGAAAGCUAGGGGAGCAAACGGGAUUAGAUACCCCGGUAGUCCUAGCCGUAAACGAUGGGCACUAAGUAGAGGGAAUUACCGAUAUUCUCUCUGCCGUAGCUAACGCAUUAAGUGCCCCGCCUGGGGAGUACGGCCGCAAGGCUAAAACUCAAAAGAAUUGACGGGGGCUCGCACAAGCGGUGGAGCAUGUGGCUUAAUUCGAUGCAACGCGAAAAACCUUACCGGGGCUUGACAUGGUAGAAGUAGGAACCCGAAAGGGUAACGAACGGUAUCCAGUCCGUAGCUAUUACAGGUGUUGCAUGGCUGUCGUCAGCUCGUGUCGUGAGACGUUGGGUUAAGUCCCCUAACGAGCGAAACCCUUGUUUUUAGUUGCCAUCGGGUUGUGCCGGGCACUCUAGAAAGACUGCCGUCGUCAAGACGGAGGAAGGUGGGGACGACGUCAAGUCAUCAUGGCCCUUAUGCCCCGGGCUGCACACGUGCUACAAUGGUCGGUACAAACGGAAGCGAAGCCGAGAGGUGAAGCGAAUC